rnacentral:sRNA from 1 species
UCUGGCCAUCCCUCUUCAACGUCAACUUGUCCAAGAAGGUUCAGGAAAGCAUCCAGAUCCCGAACAAUGGGAGUGCGCCCCUGCUCGUGGAUGUGCAGGUGUUUGUCUCCAACGUGUUUAAUGUGGUAAGUGCCUCUAGGCCAAGGGCCCCAAGUGCUGAGCUGGGCAGGGAACAGGACUCAGCCCUGGAUAGUGCUGGGGUCUCCUGCUGCGUUCUUUCAACACAGCGCUCACCCUGAGGUGAUGCAUUGCCCUUCCCCCAGGACAUCCUGCGAUACACAAUGUCCUCCAUGCUGCUGCUUAGGCUGGUGAGCUCCUAUGCCUGGGGAGGUGGGAUGGG